rnacentral:miRNA from 1 species
UAGAACUUCGUCCCAAC